rnacentral:lncRNA from 1 species
UUUCAGAGAUGCAGCAUGAGGGGGCUGAGGAGUUUCUAAAGAAAGAUUCCUGAGUUUGGACCAGGCAACAUUUGAAAUCCUUAGAGACAUCCAGGUGGUAAGAGAACUGAGCCAUCUCCCGGUGGUCCCCAUGACUUUAUGUGGAAGGAGCAAUUCCUAUUUGGGUUAUACAUCCUGUCUGCCAGCUGGUAAUGGAAUAAUGGGAAAACAAUUGUCUUGGCUCUUCAAACAGCGUCUGUUGCCAACCCAACUUCCUGGAAGCUGUCAGCUCCCCUGGGUGAGUCAGCAAAUACUUGCUCUGUGGAGCAAGACUCUGAAAGAAGUACCGGUAAGGCAGCCAAUCAUGAGAGAGUGUGGAUAAUUCUCUGUCUCUCAGAGUCCCUACUUUUCACCAUUCACUGGCAAAAAAAAAGUCAUGCACUAGACCUGGCCUCUGAGUGUAUCUGAUGACCCACAGUCUGGGUAUGAGGCACAGUGUAUGCAGGAGGGGCUGGAUGUGUCUGCCCAGGGAGUGUGAUCUAAUCAUUGGUACAUGAGAGUUCUGGGUCAAGCAACUAAGAAUGUGGU